rnacentral:rRNA from 1 species
GACGAAGGAUGCAGGCGUUAUCCGGAUUCAUUGGGUUUAAAGGGAGCGUAGGUGGUCUUAUAAGUCAGUGGUGAAAUCUCUGGGCUUAACCCAGAAAUUGCCAUUGAUACUGUAGGACUUGAGUACAGUUGCCGUUGGCGGAAUAUGACAUGUAGUGGUGAAAUACAUAGAGAUGUCAUAGAACACCGAUUGCGAAGGCAGCUAACGAAACUGUAACUGACACUGAGGCUCGAAAGUGCGGGGAUCAAACAGG